GAUGAACGCUGGCGGCGUGCUUAACACAUGCAAGUCGAACGGUGAACGAGGGAGCUUGCUCCCUCCGGAUCAGUGGCGAACGGGUGAGUAACACGUGAGCAAUCUGCCCCGAACUCUGGGAUAAGCGCUGGAAACGGCGUCUAAUACCGGAUACGACGCGCGAAGGCAUCUUCUGCGCGUGGAAAGAAUUUCGGUGCGGGAUGAGCUCGCGGCCUAUCAGCUAGUUGGUGAGGUAACGGUUCACCAAGGCGACGACGGGUAGCCGGCCUGAGAGGGUGACCGGCCGCACUGGGACGGAGACACGGCCCAGACUCCUACGGGAGGCAGCAGUGGGGAAUAUUGCACAAUGGGCGCAAGCCUGAUGCAGCAACGCCGCGUGAGGGACGACGGCCUUCGGGUUGUAAACCUCUUUUAGUAGGGAAGAAGCGAAAGUGACGGUACCUGCAGAAAAAGCACCGGCUAACUACGUGCCAGCCGCCGCAGUAAAAC
rnacentral:rRNA from 1 species